GACGAACGCUGGCGGCGUGCUUAACACAUGCAAGUCGAGCGGUAAGGCCUUUUCGGGGGUACGACGAGCGGCGAACGGGUGAGUAACACGUGGGUGACCUGCCCUUAGCUCUGGGAUGAGCCUGGGAAACUGGGUCUAAUACCGGAUAUGACUCCAUGACGCAUGUUGUGGGGUGGAAAGCCUUGUGCGGCUAGGGAUGGGCCCGCGGCCUAUCAGCUUGUUGGUGGGGUGANGGCCUACCAAGGCGACGACGGGUAGCCGGCCUGAGAGGGCGACCGGCCACACUGGGACUGAGACACGGCCCAGACUCCUACGGGAGGCAGCAGUGGGGAAUCUUGCGCAAUGGGCGAAAGCCUGACGCAGCGACGCCGCGUGGGGAUGACGGCCUCGG
rnacentral:rRNA from 1 species